rnacentral:rRNA from 1 species
AGAGUUUGAUCCUGGCUCAGGAUGAACGCUGGCGGCGUGCCUAACACAUGCAAGUCGAACGAGAGAGGUUGGUGCUUGCACCGACCAAUCGAGUGGCGGACGGGUGAGUAACGCGUGGGUAACCUGCCUCAUACAGGGGGAUAACAACUGGAAACGGUUGAUAAUACCGCAUAAGCGCACGGUAUCGCAUGAUACAGUGUGAAAAGCUCCGGUGGUAUGAGAUGGACCCGCGUCUGAUUAGCUAGUUGGCGGGGUAACGGCCCACCAAGGCGACGAUCAGUAGCCGGCCUGAGAGGGUGAACGGCCACAUUGGGACUGAGACACGGCCCAAACUCCUACGGGAGGCAGCAGUGGGGAAUAUUGCACAAUGGGGGAAACCCUGAUGCCAGCGACGCCGCGUGAGCGAAGAAGUAUUUCGGUAUGUAAAGCUCUAUCAGCAGGGAAGAAAAUGACGGUACCUGACUAAGAAGCCCCGGCUAACUACGUGCCAGCAGCCGC